CUCCUAGAACUACUAUAAAGCGUUCAAUUAUUCAUAAAACAAAUACCUACAUGAUUCUGAUGGAAGAUCUAUUCUAAUGUAUAUACAAAUAAAUAGACAACUACAAAUGUUAAAAAAACUUUCAACUUUUCAUUUCUUUGUAUUCACGCUUCAAGUCUCAGCUUACAAGAACCCGUGUGUAAGUCGUGUACCUGAUAUUGGAGAUCAAAGGAAGAAGAGGAUAAUCAGCAGUAGCAAAGCAAUAACACAGCAACAACAGUAGAGCAAUAAUGGCAAUGACCCAGAAACAGAUUUGGAAACCAGUUUGAACAAACUCCAACAACCGGUGGAAAAGCAACUCCAAAACAAACAACCAACCUCAAAAAAUCCAAAAACAAAUCCAACAAUACCAACACCCACAGCAGAACAGAAUGAACCAGAAACAAAGAGGAAGUAAUAGAACAGUUCUGAUUUUCUUCUUAAACGCUCGAGAUAGAACACUCUUCAACUAAAAAAAUUCAAUUUAUGUUUAAGCUCUCAAACUUUCUCUACAAUUUUAAAGUAAGUCUUUUUCUCUCAAUCCUUCACUCUCAAGGUUCGAAGUCUGUUUUUAUCCCUUCACAAGUUCUGAAAAUUUGAUAUCUAAAUUCUUUCUUUUCUUUAAGUGUCAAAUGACUCAUAUUAUAUAUCAAUAGGUAGUCCCCUUUUUUCACUCUUUUCUUAUUAUUACUACCCCUUUUUCUUUUACUUUCCAGCUCAUUAUUCCUUUUAACUAUAUGGGUUAUUUACCCAUUUAUUAUUACCUAUACUAUUUCUGAUUUUCAAUUAAACAAAAGCAGUCAAACAAACCCCACAGUCUCCAUUUUUUGACUAACACAUUAAUGUUCUACUUAUUACUUAAUGGCCCCUCAUACCACUAUGUUUUAUUCCCCAUUACUUAUUAGUUUAAUACCAUUUAAUACUCAACUUUUAGAGUAUUAAUAUUAAACUAAUUAUCUAAUCUUCCAUUCCCAAAUUACCCAUGAAUCUAUUGAAAUUAUUAUUCUAUCCCCAUCCUUUCAAUCUGUAGCAAAAUUAUCAACUGACCAAAAUUGAUUCUUAAAACACCAAAUCACUAAAGCUAUAACUAAAUCAAGCCUAACAAUUGAAUAAUUAACACAUGAAACCAAUUUCCAAUCAACAACAUUAGGACAACCUUAAAAAAGUCAGAUUCAUAUCAGAAUUAACACAAUCCAGCAGACUUAAAUUACUAAAAUCAAUCAUAAAUUCAACUUCAAAUUAAAUCCAAAAAUAUUACAACCAAGAUAAAGGAUUCAAGUGAUUCAAACUAACACACUACUAUAUUAAAACUAAACAAGAAUAUAUGAAUAUAAAUGAACUGAAGAAAUAAUCAAGAAAUGAUAAACAGCGAACAAGACAAAAAAUCAAACAUAUACUGAUUUUAGAUUCGAGAAUAUCAAAUAAAAUACGGACAGAAAUGAAACUCAAUCCAACUAACCAGAUCGGAACAACGACGAACUCGAACGAAAACAAGUCUGCCCGGAAACUUUAAAACCAAAAUAACUCGAAUCUGCCCGGAAAUAUUUUGUAUGUUUUCCGGUUGAUUUCAGGCGAUGAACGAGCUGACUAUUGGUGGUGACAGACUGCUCAGAUGGUCGUUCAUGGCUCUUGUGCGACGGUGGGCAGUGGGGGUUUGUUUGGGGUCUGUUUGGUCGAAGGUUGCUAGUGGUUGACGAACCAACUGACUGUUGGUCGUGACUGUGUGUGAAAAUGAUCAUGACUGUGUGUGACUGCCACGGCUAUUGCUGGACGUCAAGGUUUGGAGGUUGGUUGACGAUGGCAGUAGGGGUUGUUGAGGACGGGCAGUGGACUGGUUGUUGGUUUUUUGGCGUGGUUGGGUUGUGAGUUGGUUGAGGGACGUUGGGGCUGUGAAGGUUCGACUGGCUGAAGGUGAAAGCUGGUUCGUUCAGGGUCGUGGUGGACGUAGGAACGGAGAUGGUGGUGUGAGGUUCAGGUGGUCAUGGUGUUGGAUGAAGGUCAUUUGGAAUGGUGGUUGGUUGACGAAGAAGGGGGAGGGCAUUCAUGGAUGGCUGGAGCUCCCGACUGGAGGGGUGGUUUGGAGAAGAUGAAUAGGGGUGGGUGCUAAGGUGUGACGGCUGAAAAUCUUUAGGGUGUGUC
rnacentral:lncRNA from 1 species